CACGUAGGGCGCAAGCGUUGUCCGGAAUUAUUGGGCGUAAAGAGCUCGUGAGCGGUCUGUUGCGUCCGCUGUGAAAACUCGGGGCUUAACCCCGAGCCUGCAGUGGAUACGGGCAGACUAGAGGUAGGUAGGGGAGAAUGGAAUUCCCGGUGUAGCGGUGAAAUGCGCAGAUAUCGGGAGGAACACCGGUGGCGAAGGCGGUUCUCUGGACCAUUGCUGACGCUGAGACACGAAAAGCGUGGGUAGCAAACAGG
rnacentral:rRNA from 1 species